GCCCCUAAUGAGCAUUUGAGCAGCCAAUCAUAAUCAUCUAUGUCAUGUGAUCAUGAGUCAGGAAGCGGAUUGUUGUAGUGAGAGUUUAGAAGCACCAUGGAUGACGAAUUUGAAGGUACCAGCUCUCAGAUGGUGAUCUUUUCCAAAAACGAUAGGACAGGUGUGGAGGAGAAAGAAGCAAGAGAAUGGGUUCCUAAGUCUGUGAGCUCAUCUGAAGAUGAUGGGACAGAUGACUGGAAACCCACACAGGAUGAAUCUGAAGGCUAUUCAGAAGAGGAGGAAGAACAAGAACGUAAAAGGAUUCCUAAGGUAGCCAUGAAAAAGAAAACUGGGUGUCCUGUGCCACAAAGAGAGAUGGUGGCAGCAUCUGAAGAGGAUGGGACACAUGAUAGCAGACCCACACAGGAUGAAUCUAAAGAUGAUUCAAAAGAUGAAGCAGAACAUUUGGGACAAAUGAUUCACAAAGUGGCCAUGGAAAAGAGGGCGUUUGUGAGCAGUGAGUUGCCGCAGAGGACAGAGGAACAGCAACAGGUUGCUGUCGCCUCAAAGACUCGAAGGCAUCACAAUGUCAGAAAUGGACACAAGUGUCCCAUAUGUGGACAUGUAUAUGCUGAUAUUGUUCAGCACCUAAGAGUCACAGAGCAGGUUGUAAAUAAAACUGAGCUGACUCUUUUGAGCCAAUUUUCUCAUCGGCACUUUUCUGCAAAUCUGGACUGUCCAGUCCGUUUAUGUCAGUCAAAACAUCUUAAUCGGCUUGACAAGCACCUGGAAAAGGUCCACAAAUUACAGAAACCUAUGAUUAAACUUUACAUGCAAAAGGCCAAGGACAGACACAUUGCUAAAGAACUGGCACUUCUGAGGGCAUCAAAUCCCACACCGCAAAUGGUCUCACACAUGGAUGAAGUGGAUGAUGCUGUAAUUGAGGAGGGCAUCUUUAGGGCACUGGAGGAAGGGUCAAAGGUUGCUUCUGCUAUAGCCUCUUCCAGCAAGGCUGCCAGUGACCAUGUUACACUGAUCCACCGGCCUGCUCGAGACGAUUCCGUUGACGAUUCCGGUGACUCUGACAGCGAGGCUCCCAGUGACUCUACCAGACCAAACCUACAGCCUCCUCUCUCUGCCAGUGACACUCUCAGUGACCACACCAUCCCAAUUAUGCAGCCUCCUUCUCUCUCCACCAGCAAGAUUACUUGUGAUUCAACAGUGGUAUCCCCUGAUGUGUUAAUCCCAAGCAGUGCACCUUACUAUGUAGCAAAGCAAAAGAGGGGACGUCCUCUCCCGAGGACACCUGCUCCUGGUUGCAAACACUGUCAGAUACUGUUCACUGAGCUACAGGUGGUGAAGCAGUUGCUAGAGUGUGAACUUGAUAGGAAUCAUGAGCUCAAGCAGAUACAUUCUUCAACCAAGUGUGCAAAUGUUAAAUAUAGCAGACGUAAACGGUUUUCAUCCAGCAAAGCCCCUCACUAUGUAAGACUGGUGGAAGAAUUUAGGGCCCAUGCAGAAGGUGUGAACCCUAGCAGAAAAAUACAUGAAAAUGCAAGGCAGCGGGCCACUCAUGUCAUCCAGUUUCUGGAAUUCAUGGCAGACCCAGCAAUUCCAAACACUGACCUUCUGUUUCUGAGGAACCAUGGAAAAGUCCGUGAUUUUCUAGCACACCUGCAAGCAAAAGGGUUUAAACCAACAACUCAGAGAGCUUAUCUCAUGGAUGCUAUUGCUUUCAUGAAAUAUAUAUUAAACAUGUCACCACCACAAGUCAGACUUGGAAAUAAAAGGAUCAACGCCCUUUUGGUCGAACUGAGGGCACGUAACAGAGAUGUUGGCCGUGAAGUAGUCGUGCACCAGCUGAAUGUGCGCCGAUCUAAGUCUAAAAGGCUUGUCAAAGCAGAAAAACAUGCUUUGUUCAUUGAAGAGGCUCCCCAGAAGAUUGCUGCCGCACUGGAUGACCUCGAGAAGCAACCCCAGAACAGAACAAUAUUGAAAUUGUUUUUUGGACUGUUGGGUGGAUACCUCAUUGCCAUAACUGGCCACCGAAAGGGAGUGGUCAUCAACAUGACUACUGAGGAGGUUGAAAUGGCAGAAAAAACUAAGCAGGGUGCCCGCAUCAUCCGUGUUAAACAGCACAAAACUCAAAGAUACCAUGGGGAAGCAGCUGUCCCCCUGUACAAGAAUGAGUAUACCUGGUUGCAGCGUUACAAUCAUAUUAGAGAGUAUAUUGAAGGGGGUUCGGAGGCAUCAACUUUUUUCCACAGUUCCAGUGGAGGUGUUCUUCAUAGACUACCGGAAUUUUUCAAGGCAGCCUGGGAGAUGAUGAAUCUGGGGAUUGUCCCCACCUUCAACAUGAUACGUUCCUCCUGUAGCACUUACGCCAAGCGACAGUUGGGACGUAAAUCUUAUGACAGAGUGGCAACGUUUAUGUGCCAUGAUGCCGUCACAGCCAAAAGAUUUUACCAAGCUGAGGACCCUGCAGAGGACACACUCCAGAGCCGAGCACUGACCACCCAUGCAAUUGCAACAUAUGCAGCAAAGAAAAGGAAAAGGAGAGAGGACAGAGGAUCUGUGCAGGACAAGGACAGUGAAGGAUCUGACAAGGAAGAGCAGCAGUCAUCAGGAACAGAGGAGCUUUUAGACAGAAGGCUCUUCCAGUGUAGCAGUAACAAGAUGGUGAGCCCAGGUCAGGGUGAGGGUGCCGGUAGUGCUGGAGCCACAAUAAGAGAAACUAAACGGGAUUUGAAAGAGGAGGUGGAGCAUCUACAAAAAGUGACAUACCAGUUGCGCAAGAGAAAAAUGGUCAUCUUUUACAAAAAUGAUAGGACAGGUGUGGGGAAACUCACACAAGAAGACAAUCCACAAGAGGAGGAGGAGGAUGAAGCGAGAGAAUGGGUUCCUAAGCAGUCUGUUAGCUCAUCUGAAGAUGAUGGGACAGAUGACUGGAAACCCACACAGGAUGAAUCUGAAGGCUAUUCAGAAGAGGAGGAAGAACAAGAACAUAAAAGGAUUCCUAAGAUGGCGGCAGCAUCUGAAGAGGAUGGGACACAUGAUAGCAGACCCACACAGGAUGAUUCAAAGGAUGAAGCAGAACAUUUGGGACAAAUGAUUCACAAAGUGGCCAUGGAAAAGGACAGGGAAACGGCGAUAAGCUUAUUACCAGUACAACACCAAAUUCCAGUUGUUACUCUGAAUUCAGUCACUCUCAAGACACCCAUGAAGGACAAAGUCGCACUGGAGGUCCCUCCUGGUAUGCAGCAGGCCUAUGUAAACCAAGACACAGCAAUGACUGUGAAUAAGAAUUCGGAAAAAAGUGUGAUUCACCAAACCAGUUACUUGAAGAGGCUCACUUUUCAUCAGUCAACUCUCUUUGAAGACACCAUACCAAGAUCUGAUAACAACAAGAAAGACCAAAGUGGAAUGUCAUCUGCAGCAAUAAUAACCUCAGAACAACUGGAAGAGAAAGAGAUACAAGAAGAAUCUCUGGAGAAGAUGAAGUGUGAAGACAAAGGAGGGAAGAGAAAAGAAAAAGUACAGCAGGAGCCUCUGGAGAAGAUGAGGAGCAAAAGGCAAAGGAAGGAAGAAAAGAUACAGGCAGAGCCUCUGGAGAAGAUGAAGAGUGAAGCCAAAGUAGGAAAGAGAAAAGAAAAAGUACAGCAGAAGCCUCUGGAGAAGAUGAAGAGUGAAGACAAAGAAGGGAAGAGAAAAGAAAAAGUACAGCAGGAGCCUCUGGAGAAGAUGAAGCGUGAAGACAAAGGAGGGAAGAGAAAAGAAAAAGUACAGCAGGAGCCUCUGGAGAAGAUGAGGGGCAAAAGGCAAAGGAAGGAAGAAAAGAUACAGGCAGAGCCUCUGGAGAAGAUGAAGAGUGAAGCCAAAGUAGGAAAGAGAAAAGAAAAAGUACAGCAGAAGCCUCUGGAGAAGAUGAAGAGUGAAGACAAAGGAGGGAAGAGAAAAGAAAAAGUACAGCAGGAGCCUCUGGAGAAGAUGAAGCGUGAAGACAAAGGAGGGAAGAGAAAAGAAAAAGUACAGCAGGAGCCUCUGGAGAAGAUGAAGCGUGAAGACAAAAGAGGGAAGAGAAAAGAAAAAGUACAGCAGCAGCCUCUGGAGAAGAUGAGGGGCAAAAGGCAAAGGAGGGAAGAAAAGAUACAGUCAGAGCCUCUGGAGAAGAUGAAGAGUGAAGCCAAAGUAGGAAAGAGAAAACAAAAAGUACAGCAGGAGCCUCUGGAGAAGAUGAGGGGCAAAAGGCAAAGGAAGAAAGAAAAGAUACAGUCAGAGCCUCUGGAGAAGAUGAAGAGUGAAGCCAAAGUAGGAAAGAGAAAUGAAAAAGUACAGCAGAAGCCUCUGGAGAAGAUGAGGAGCAAAAGGCAAAGGAAAGAAGAAAAGAUACAGGCAGAGCCUCUGGAGAAGAUGAAGAGUGAAGGCAAAAGAGGGAAGGGAAAAGAAAAAGUACAGCAGGAGCCUCUGGAGAAGAUGAAGCGUGAAGACAAAGGAGGGAAGAGAAAAGAAAAAGUACAGCAGGAGCCUCUGGAGAAGAUGAGGGGCAAAAGGCAACGGAAGGAAGAAAAGAUACAGGCAGAGCCUCUGGAGAAGAGAAUUAAGAUUAUGAAAUAAAAGAAGGAAAAAUCCACAGAGUUCUCAAAGAAAUGGCGAGAGAAAGUCUCAGAAAAUAAGAAGCAGAAAAUUAGAGGUCAUCCAGGUCUGCCCUGGGACAAACUUGUUGGACUUACAACAGAUGGAGCGCCCGCAAUGUGUGGUGAAAAAAGUGAACUAUUCGGCAGGAUUCGAGUAAAAGAUGCAGGAUGUGAACUGUACGGGUGAGUUAACAGCAUAUCACUGCAUCACACACCAGCAAACGCUGUGUAGUAAAGUCCUAAAAAUGGAGCAUGUAAUGAGUACUGAGAGGAGGUAUUUUACUGUUAUUUUAUCAUUGCAUCAGAAAUCAUAUAAUAAGCAUUGCAUUAAAGCAUUUAUUGAAGAUAUUGACAUUACAUUAACGUUUGUAUUACAGUGAUUGUUAUAACCUCAUGUUAAUCUUCUAUUUACAGGUGUUAGUAUAAUCACAUAAUCUUUCAUUGCAGGUGUAACCAUGAUCAUAUUGCCGCUUGGUGCUUAUUAUGGAGUUGUGCUCAAGUCAGUAAGGGUUAAAAGCUACAGUCAGUGGGAUGUCUGGCUGAUCUAUUGAGUGAAGUGACGUAGAGCGUAGAAGGCCGCACAUGCUUACAAGACACUUACAUCAUGUUAUUUUAUGAUCUUUUAUUUAGCUAUAUCUUUUGUUAAACUUUAAGUAGUGUGCAUUGGCAAUAAUUACUCAUUACUUCAUUUACUCAUCAUCAUUAAUUGUUAUUUCAUUAAAGAAUUUCUUUAGGCUGUCGGCCUUGUGUUACAACUUCUGUUACAGGUAUCGUCAUAAUCCCAUGUUAACAUUUUCUAUUACAGGUGCAGUGAUAAUUCUUUUCAUAUACAUGCAUUGUAUUUUUGUGCUUGCUAAAGAGGGGGCUCGGUCAACUAGCGGAGGGUCGGAAGCUUUGUUCGGCGCGAGGUUCGAACAAUCUAUUGUGUUAAGGAUCUUGAGCUAUGGAAGGAACACGCUUACAAAACACAUACUAUGUCAGUUAUCAUCCUUUAUUCAUUUAUAUUCUUUUAUUAAGCUUU